UAAGCUUCCACAAAAUAGACAUUUCCCUUUAGUCUGGAAAAAAAUGAAAUUCAGACCACUGCAGAUGCUCAAAUGCCAAAUGACUUUCAAGCAUGAGAAAAUCUUGAAAUCCUAAGCAUAAAACAUAUGGCGCUUUGCUUUGGAAUGAGAUUGAAAGGGAAAAGCUCAACGGUAAAGCUGAACCGAGGACAUUUCAUUAUUCAGAAUGAUAGGAAAGAGCUUUCUUUUAGCAUAAGAAGUGAGAAUUUUGAGCAGAUCUGACUAUUUUUGAAGGCAAGCAGCAGCCUUAUUAUUUAUUUGCAUUGUGGUCAUAUUAGGUCAAUUAUUAACUCACUCAAAUGAAAGCCAAAAAGCUCCUUAGGAAUCUGUUUUAUGUGAAAGUGUGGAUGGAAGUGGAAACAGCCAAGCAGAUUUCAUUCAGUUUAGGAGAAAAACAUCAACCGUUGUUUCUCUCUCUGCGUGCACAGAUUUGGGACAGCUUUGGGCAUCCAGUAUGGAUAUCCAAAGGAAGCAAAAUGGGGCUGAGGUAUUCACUGCUGAUAGUGGAGGGGAGGGUGGGAGGAGGGGGAACAUCCCCCAAAUAUGAAGUAUCUGGGAGAUCCGUGUGUCCAUAUUAGCAGUGUCUGUAUUUUUGCCCCAUGGGAGCUCUCCCCUUUUGCAAUCUGCCACUCACAUCCCAUGAGCCAGAAGCAAUUGUGACUCAGAGCCGCUUUUCUGACCCUGUCUGCAACUGCAGAUCGCCCCAAGGCACAGCAGCUCAUUAACCUGGGGUUGUUCUUUGUAGCUGCAGGUGGUUUUCUCACUCCUGAUCCCAUCCCCAUCCCUCUCUCCAACCAUUCUCCUCCUGUGGGCCACGUUUCAAUUCCAAAUGUCCAUUUUACACCUCGCUUUAAUUAGUUUUGUAUCACCGUGUUGUAUUUAUAUUGCUUGACGUAAGCUUCACGUUGCUUCCAUUACAUCUUAUGCGUUGCUGUGAUUUUUAUUUAUGGUGUUUCUGGUGCAUUUGCAUUACUUUCCUGAGAUGGAUAUCAUUUUGGCUGGAUUUACAGUGUAUUUCUUCAGUUAGAUUUAUAUCGCUUUAAUUAGAUUUAUAUCUCUUUAGGCUUUGAGGGCUUCACUUAGAUUUACAAUCUCUCUUUUAGCAGGCUUGUCUUGCACGGGAGAUUCGCAUCCUUUUUCUUUCAAAGGGUAUUGCUUAACUCAACACCAGUGUUGCUUUAUCUAGGCUUUGGUCAGCCUCCCAGUUAGGUACACGAAGCCAGAACUCACAGCUUGCUUUCUUUCCCCUUAAUUUAUGGUAGAAUAAUCCUGUUGGAAUUUAAAUUAACCUCUUCCAAGCCAACACCAGCAUGAACGUACUGGAGGUCAUCUCACCAACUGGAUCAAUGAGAGUCCAGUUAGCAAGAUGCUCUUCCUUCCUGUGCACUAAAUGCAGUGUGCAGCUGUGUGAUGGAGGCUCCAAGCUUGCUUUUCCCUUUGCCAUAAUCAAGAAGCCUCGCUGGAGCUGAUCUCUUGCAGAACACAGGCUGUGCUUCCCAACAACAGCCACAGAGGACGUGGCUUUGUGCUCCUGCCCAGCUCUGAAUCACAUCAGCUGGAAGGGAUCUACAUCCAUGUGCUUUGGGGUGAAAGCUAAGCUGAGAUUGAGAGAGGUCAGUGGGUGUUCCCUGAGGGCUGUUUUUUCAGGUGUUCACAGCAGGAUGCUCGGCUGCUUUCCCACUUGGAGGCAAUUUGGGGCUCUGUUGAAGGGCAGGAUGUGGGCCGGGUGCAUUCAGCUUUAGCUGAUGGAAAUGAACUCCCAUGAGUCCCUCCAGCUAUCAGCACUCAGUUGGGCAGGGCUGGCUGCACCCUGAGCUCUCACCCAACCCAACCCAACCUCCUGGCCCUCUCCUUGCCCAAAACACAGUGAGACUCUGAUGCUUACUGUGUGCCCAAUGAUGUUACAAGAACCACAGAACCAUUACAGAACCUUUGGAGUUGAUCACUAAGCUCAUCAAGUCCAACCCAUCCCCACUGUGCCCACCAGCCACGUCCCCAUCCUCUGCCCUUCCUGCAGCUGCACAAACGAGUGGCUAAUUCAAUUAAUGUGCAUCUAAUUAGGCCAUCAGCAUCUCUGGAAGAGGGGCUGCAUCCGCAGCAUGGGCUGCAGUGGUCUGAGCAUUCCAUUGCCUUCCCCAUGCUCUGCCACUGGGCCCCAUUCAUUUAAUUACGCCUGGCUGCUGUGCUCCUCACCCUUUUAAUUGCCCUGGACACAGAGCAGCGUGGUAAGCAGGUCAGAGAUAGAUGCUGGGCAUUGUUUUAAGACAGUAAAGCUGUUUUUAAACAGCAUUCAGCAGCUUGCUUUAUGUAAUUGCUGAGAGAAGGAGGGCAUUCAGCAGGGGCAGCGGGGAAUGCUCCAAAGGGAUGCUGAGCAGCUCCUAAUUAACGACAAAUGACUCGGAGCCUGGUGCAGUGCUGUAACUGUAAGAUCUCUGCCGAAUGCCACAGCUGCAAGUCCUUUCCCAGAGCUUCAGACCAAGCCAUAGGUCUGCAGCAAUAUUCCCAGAUAGAACUGGGAUUUAGUCAACAGUUUGGAGGACUGGGAGAGCAAAACCCAAACUAAUUAACUCUCCCUGAGGCUUAUUAGUUCUCUGGUGCUGGGAUCAAUGGGAAAAGGCUGAUUUUUAUGUGUUCACAUGCCCAAAAAGAGCUGCCCUGAUUGAACACUUCAAAAAGCACUGAUGAUUCUUUCAUGUAGUUUAAAAGUGGGGUUUGGCAUGAAAAUAAAAACAAAGGAGGGAGAUUAAAUAGAUCAAGGCAGCACAUUUGGGCCUGAUCCCUGACCUCAGUUACGCCACUUCUACCUGAAAUUCACGGUGGAGAAAAUAAGAUGAGAAACAGGCAGCAAAGACUUGUGCUUGGUUGGUUUUCAUUUUGGAGACUGAUAUUGCUGAGGCCGUUCUGGACAGGGUGUGUUUUCAGAGCACAACUGAGGUCUGUUUGUCCUUCCCUUUGCACCGCUGUCCUGAUCUCAGGCUGUGCAACACCCAGCCAAAGUGCUGGAAGGAAAAGCUGCCUGGCUCUGUGUGUGCAGUCCAGCAAGGGAAAUAAACCCAAUGGGGCCAGGGCAGGGGAUGGAAAGCCUGGCAAGCCACGGGCAAGCUGCCCAGGCUAAGGCUGCAUGGCUCAGGAUGUGCUGGGUGAGCAGCCUGCCCAGGGCACUGAGCAUUCGGGAUGUUUCCAGGGGCCCUGCUGAGCCUCCUAGAUGUGCUCACUGCAGUGUACGCUCUGCUGAAAGCUCUGCAGGGCUGUGAGUGCUGCUGGAGGAGCUCCCAGAGAUGUGUGUGGCCUCAGGACCGUGAGGAAGCCUGCCCAGCCCCUGGUCUGCCACCUUCCAAAGCACAUCAUGUUUUCCAAGCAUGGGUGAGAUCAGGAUCUCAUUUUGCUCUGGUCUGAUCUGCAAUCUAGCCUCAAAUCUCUUGCACUGAGAAGACAGGUGGAUGCAAGGCUUUGAUGUCUGCUGUAUCCCUCCCCCUCCAUGCCCUGACCACACUGGAGCAAUGUCCAAUUCAUUACACACAGCCUGCUGCAUCCCCUUGGAAGAAAAGGGACUCGACAUCAGUUGUCUAUCUAAGCUCUGCCUCUGAGGGGACUUAGAACAGCUGGCUCUGAGCACUCCAGCAGGCACUAAUUACCCUAACGGGCCUCCCCAGGCCUUGCCCCAAGCACCUUCUUCCCAUUGGCCCUACAGUUCUAUUUAAGUUCAGGCCAGGAGCUGUACCAUUCUACUGAGCACCUGGAACAGGGGACAAGUGGAUGAAGAAGGCAGCAUCCUCAGACAUAGAGGCAGCCCCUGGGCAUGGAGCAGGCUUGGUGGGACAGAGCAUCCCUAAGUAGGGGUGGGCAGAUAAGCCAGGGCUGUGCUGAGGCUCUCAGCUUUGCAGCAACAGCUGUCUGAGCCUGGAUCUGAGUGGGUACAAAUCCCUUCCUGCUUUUCCAAGGUGCUGACAUGACACUGAACUUCAAGUUUGGAGGUGAGGAAGGAAGAUUUGCUGCUCAGUUGGGGCUGACCAAAGCUGCAUCCCAGGCCCCAAGGUGAAGCUGUGUCAGACUGUAAUCCUCUGCUCCCAAGCACUGCUGGAACAUCACAGCAGAGCAUGGAGGAGAAUGUUUUCUUUUAACGGCACAUUUUUCCUUAAACCAGUUUGCAGGCACGGCUGAGGCAUUUUAAUGGAAAUUUCCUCCCAGUAAAAAGGCUGCAGCACACAUACCAGAAACUCUUGGCCCGGAUCGUUAACAUUCAGUAAAACUAUAAGCAACCCAGUGGGAGCAUUGAGCUGCGAGGCAUGCUUCAUCUUCCUACAGCUCAGGACACAGACUGUGAAUAUGGGGCAGCCCUUCAGAUGUACCAACAGCAAAGUCAGAAGAGGCCAACACCAGUGAAGCCUUGCUUUGGCCACCAGGACCUGUCCCACAGUCUUUAAGCUGUACUUAAUCCUCUCAGAUGCCCUUCAUGGCCACUGAUCUCCAGCCACCCUGCUCUGCUGAUGGUGAAUCUCAGAAAGCUACCCUCUCCUGUGCUCCUUGGCUGCUUUCUGUCUAUUCUCAUGGGUGCUGGGAUCGGAUCUUCCAUUCCCAGGUCACUUUUGGGGUCUGUUUGUGCCUCAGUCCCAUUGCAGGAGCAAAGCAUUGCUGGCAAGGUGCUGGACACUGGAAGGAGCCCUCUGAGAUGGUCUCUUUUCUCAUUUCCCAGGCUCUAAGAGGAUACUAGGAGGAAAAUUGAUCCUAUUUACUCCACGCCAACUUUACAGGGAAGGAGAGCCCUGAAUUCCCCCUCACACCCUGCGGUCCAGGUACACAGCAGGCACUGCUGAAACCUGCAGCCAGGAGCUCACAGCUGCACAGAUGGAUGCAUCCUCAUCCCUGCUAUCCUCCAGCAUAGACAUGGGACUGUGCCACGCUCCAGUGCUGGGCUGCACACUGCUGGACCUGAAGUGACCCUGGUGCGAUGGGGAAGCUGAUCCCAGGUUUGAGCAGAGCACAGCCCUUCACACUGGACAUGUUCCAAGGGUUAUUUGUGCCUGCUGACCUCACGGCGCUUUUCCUUCCAGCCCCUGCUGGGGUCCUCCUGUCUCUUUGCAUAAUCUCCUCUGAAGAAAUAGCAGGAGUGGGGCUUUCUUUGCAGCUUUUGUCCAGGAGAGCCGCCUUGCUGCACGGUUCCACUUUGAGAACCCCCCUCUCUUUUUGUGUUUGAGCUGAACCGUUUCUUUUCUCCCCUCUUUGCACCUCUUAACUUUCUCUCCUCUAUUCUUUGCACCGUUAUUGUCCUGAAAAGUAUUUUGAGGACACAGUUUGUUCGAAGCAAGGCUGUGACAAUGCAAGGGCUACAACUGGAAGCGUGGAUUAAAGCAAUGCUUUCUAUUUAUUUCUGUGCUUUUCCUCGCAAAGCUCUUUCUCUCAGACCCCAAUCCUGCUGCCGCUGUGACCUUUGCAUUUGCAGAGCGACCUUUGGAAAUCAAAGGGGCCCUUCGUCGGCAUCUGCCCAUCUGGAAGCGAUUGCAGCAGCGGGCGCAGGGUGGGUUGGGGCCUCGUGGCUGCAGCCUGGAGUGACCCAGUGAUGGGAAGAGGGGCUGAAGUGCCUUGCAUUGCAACCUCGGGGUGGGAAUACCUCCGGCGUGCUGCCUGGAUGCAGGGAGAGCCUCAGCAGCCACGUCAACACCAUUUGAUUCACAGCCACCGCGUGUUUAGUGGACUCUGAGUUGCGUGCGUUGGUGCAAACUGCAGCGCUGGGCUUUGCUGUUCAUGCUGGCCUCCCCUCUCCUUUGUAUUCAAUUAUUUGCCAGGGAGGAGAAAACACGAAGAAAGAGGGAAAAAAAAAAAAAAAA